AUUGAAGCAGAAUUUGUAUGCCUUACAUCUGUUGACCUGAAGAGCUCCUUCUUCACUGGGCUGGACCAGUAUCUGGCAAGGUUCCUUGAGCUGUACAAAGCCAAGAGUGGCAUAGUGGGGUUGACCAGGCUGAUGAGAUGUCUUGAUGAUGACAGCUGCACAGAGAGGAAGAGGACAGUUCUUCUGCUGGGCCUUCCUCACUUUCUUAAGGAGGAUUCCUCAUGUUUUUUUAAGACUGUCGAGGCCACAGAUGAUGAAAACACAUUCACUCGGGGGAUGAAAGUUGGUGUUGUGAUGGUGAAAGAUGGAGAAGACAUCAUUGACACUUUAGUGGUCCUUGAAGAAAGAGUGAUUCUGCCUGAUCUGAAGGACAUCCCGCAUGCCAUUGCCUUGCUGAUGGGUCUUCUUUUUGCACUCAACAUAGACUAUCCGAAGGAACUAAGGUACACAUUUGAAGUCAUUCAGAAGGUCCUGAUGAACAUCGGUGGAGGACAGUUUUCCUCACUUGUGCAUGGUUUAAGAAACAAACUCCUCCGGAAAACCUUUUAAGGUUGUGUUCAGAUGUCUCAUCUUGUGCUGGAGUGUUUAAAACUUCACAUAUUGAAGUUCAAAUUCUAAAGUUUGCUGUUGAAGUUUAUGCUCUCAAGUUCAAGUUUUGCACAAUUUAUGCAAAUGCUCAUUUUUGUAUUUUGUACAUUACUAAAUAAGCACUUGUGGACAUAUGGAAGCCCAUUUCUGAGAGUGAAAGAAAAAAGUUUGAUCGAAAGAGAUCAAAAUUAUGAUUUAAAAAAAACUAAUCAAAAUUAUAAGAUAGAAAUUCAGUUGUGGGAUAAAGUCUAAAUUAGGAGAUGGAAAAAUCAAAAUUAUGAGAUAAAAAGUCAAAAAUUAGAUCUAAAAAAAGUUAAAUGAGAUAAAAAGUUGAGGUUAUGACAUAAUUUCAAAUGUCUAUUAUAAUGACCUUUUUUUUUAAAGAAGCUCAUAAUGUCUUACUAUGGGGAUAUUUGUUUCUUAUACUUCAAGAAAUGAGCUUUGAUACAGACUAACUGCAGACUGUUUGUAUGUAAAGUCUUUGGUCCAUCUUUUGACCUCAACAAUAGCCAUAGCACUUGUUAAAUUCCUCUGCAAAGGAACAGAGAUCAUACAGUGUACUGUAUUCAUUAUCAUUAAGAGAAUUUGUUUUUGAUUUCAAAGUGCUGUCUUUGUAUUUCAAGGAGUUUGAAGUCUUGACUGACAAAAUAUGUCAAUAAAUGCAUUACUGGUUGCAUUUUAAGUGGUGGUGCCAUAUUUCCCUUUGAAACAAACUUGUUAAAGCCAUUGAUUAAGGUAACUUUGAUAGUGAUUUUGUUAAAUCAGUUUUUUUAUUUAAAUUAUUUUGAUUAGAUUUUGCUGAGCAUGAUUUUGAAUGAUUUGGUCAAAUAGCCAAUCUGAAAUAGGAUUUUAAGUCUGAACAACUGGGAAUGGAGUGAAAUAAUGCGCAAAUUUAAAUCAGACAGGUAUUACAAGAGGCCACAUUACUUAUGUUGAAAAAAAGAAAUCUUGGAUAAGUUCAAUAAAUUAUUUAAUUUUCAUUCAUAUGAACACACUUUUAGUUAAAGUAAUACAUUAGCAAAUUCAAACAACUAUCCAAAGCAGUUAAAUCAGUUAACUAAUCCAAGUCAACCAAACUAAUGCAGAGGUUUACAGGGAUAUUUAGUCAAGAUAACAAGAAGUCAUGUUAGAACAACAAAUUAGGUUUUUUCACUUAACUCAAAAUUUUAAGGCAGCCCUUUCACUCGUGUUUUUAAGUUGAAACAACUAAUUAGAUUUUACAGUGUAGCGAAAAACAUGCUUAAAGGAGACAUAUUAUACCCCCUUUUCAGGUUCAUAAUGGUAUUUUUUUAUUUUUUUUAUUUUCAACCUCGGUCUGAAAGACUGUUCCUGAAAGAGGGAUUGUACCAACUGUCUGUGGAGAGACAGCAGAGGAAGAAACUGGAAGUAUUUAUAAGAAUUUAUGCUUUGUUUGUCAUUGUUCAUGUAAUGCUAGCACAUGCUAACCGUUGUUAGCUACAGGAGCCUCAGUGAUGCUAACGUAGUUAUACACAAAGUUUAUGCCGUGAAUCACCAAGCUUCGUGCUGGAGGGGGGGGGGGGUCUGUGUCCUGCUGUAUGUAGAUUUACCGGAGGUAAAGAUAGAGCUACCGUGAGAGGGAGAUAGUCAAACUGUGAUCUAGCCUCUUUAGCAGCUAACAAAAUACAGAGAGUGAGUUAUGGUGAUUAUUGUUCAUGAUGCUUCUUGUGUAACUUUCUACUGACGCGCUAACGUUAUCUCAGCUAGCGUUAUCUUUGUUGUUCUGCUGCUUCGUUCAGGUGUGUGUGUGUUACGGUGUGUGUGUGUGUGUGUGUGUGUGUGUGUGUGUUACGGUGUGUAAAUUAAC
rnacentral:lncRNA from 15 species